UUCUGCGUUACAAUAAAAACAAAUGCGGUGAGUACAUUCACUCUUAUGAAAUUAAUACAGCCUCAGAAACCUAAUUAGACCCAAAUGGCUAUUUUCUUUUUCUUUGGGCUUGGCAAGUCAUUCUGACUAUUUAAAAAAAAAAACCACAAUGUGUUUCCAUUUGGCUCCUUCCUGCAUUUGAAUUCUCUCUAACUUUGCCGUCAAAGCCAAUUUGCCUUGGAUCAUGUUUCCCAAAUGUAGUUCUGCCUCCGCAUUAUUAAAACAGAGUGUUUUCAGUUUGUCUCUGAGAUAGAACAGGCCCGCAGUGCCUAAGGUAUAACACACAGAGACACUUCUAUGUCCCAGCAUUCCUACCCUCUUCGAUUUGUGACUAUGCCCUGCAGUAGCCAGUUCUCUUUCUGGUGCGAGACUUCAAAAAGAAUUCUUCAAGUUCAGUACUUGUGAAAGCUGCCAGAUGGACAGUGUGGGAGAAUUAAAUCAUACAGACACAGCAAAGGCAAAAGCAGUGUAUGCUCCUUGUGCCAACAUGCCUCAGCUCUGACCUUCAGGAACUUCUUCUAAGGCUAAAUAUUUCAUUCCAAACACCCUAGUCAAGCCCUCUUAAAAUAACAGCCUGUAAAAAGUCUGAAUGUCAAUCACGUCAGACAACUGUAAAAGGCGUCGCAAUAGUGUAACCGUCUGUCUCCUCUCCCACCUUAUUAAAUCCAACAGGAGCCCUGCAACAGCAAAAAUGAACUCACCAUUUACAACAGCAUUGCCUGUCCCUCCACAUGCAGCAUCCUUUAUCUUCCCAAUCUUGAAUGGAUUGUGCAGGUGGUUACAUAAACUAUGGAUGCGUCCUCCGUCUGCUGGACUGAGGUCAUGGUGUAUGUGAUCUCACAGCUGGAAAAUGAACUAUGUUCAGUUGAAUGAGGCCGAAGGAGAAGACAACUGAUUGCGGAAAGUGGCAAAGCUGAAAUAAUCCAUCUUGAACUACAAAACUUUUAAGGGGUGCAUACCUAAAGGAAUCCAGUCAUCCCAGAGCUGAAGAACUAGAUAUGACACAGAAGCUAGCCACUCAACAGGUCUCAAAGGAAGUCAGUGUCAUCCCAUUUUACUGAUGGGGAAACUGAGGCGGGACAUGCCUUGCCCAGUCAUCCAGCAGGCAAGCAGCAGAGCCAGGAAAAGAACUCAAGUAUCCUGAGUCCCGGUCCAGUGCUCUGUGCGCUAGGUUACGCUGCCUCCGAAGUGACCUAGUAUUUCUGUUUCCUGACUGGAUGCCAAAAAUACACAUCUCCCACGUGACUUUGAGGCUGAGCUUUUUGCAAACCUUCUUCUCUGUAACAGCCAUCAGCAGAAAGCCAAUGUCCACGAGGAGCAAAGAUGACAGAAGCAAGUUAAAUUUUAAAAAGCAAUUGAAUGUCUGGACUUUUCUGUUUUUUUGCAGUAUUCACUCAGCCUCAGGUCCCUGCUGUAGACUCAAACCUUAAUAAAAAGACUAAUUAAAGGGAUGCAUUAUUUGCACAAGUAAUA